AUUGAACGCUGGCGGCAUGCCUUACACAUGCAAGUCGAACGGCAGCACGGGAGCAAUCCUGGUGGCGAGUGGCGAACGGGUGAGUAAUGUAUCGGAACGUACCUUUCAGUGGGGGAUAACGUAGCGAAAGUUACGCUAAUACCGCAUAUUCUGUGAGCAGGAAAGCAGGGGAUCGCAAGACCUUGCGCUGAUUGAGCGGCCGAUAUCAGAUUAGCUAGUUGGUGAGGUAAGGGCUCACCAAGGCGACGAUCUGUAGCGGGUCUGAGAGGAUGAUCCGCCACACUGGAACUGAGACACGGUCCAGACUCCUACGGGAGGCAGCAGUGGGGAAUUUUGGACAAUGGGCGCAAGCCUGAUCCAGCCAUGCCGCGUGAGUGAAGAAGGCCUCGGUUG
rnacentral:rRNA from 1 species